rnacentral:rRNA from 1 species
UACGGAGGGUGCAAGCGUUAUCCGGAUUCACUGGGUUUAAAGGGUGCGUAGGCGGACACUUAAGUCCGUGGUGAAAUCUCUGGGCUUAACCCAGAAACUGCCAUGGAUACUAUUUGUCUUGAAUAUUGUGGAGGUAAGCGGAAUAUGUCAUGUAGCGGUGAAAUGCUUAGAUAUGACAUAGAACACCAAUUGCGAAGGCAGCUUACUACACAAUGAUUGACGCUGAGGCACGAAAGCGUGGGGAUCAAACAGG